AGCGAACGCUGGCGGCAGGCUUAACACAUGCAAGUCGAACGGGCAUAGCAAUAUGUCAGUGGCAGACGGGUGAGUAACGCGUGGGAACGUACCUUUUGGUUCGGAACAACACAGGGAAACUUGUGCUAAUACCGGAUAAGCCCUUACGGGGAAAGAUUUAUCGCCGAAAGAUCGGCCCGCGUCUGAUUAGCUAGUUGGUAGGGUAAUGGCCUACCAAGGCGACGAUCAGUAGCUGGUCUGAGAGGAUGAUCAGCCACAUUGGGACUGAGACACGGCCCAAACUCCUACGGGAGGCAGCAGUGGGGAAUAUUGGACAAUGGGCGAAAGGCUGAUCCAGCCAUGCCGCGUGAGUGAUGAAGGCCCUAGGGUUGUAAAGCUCUUUUGUGCGGGAAGAUAAUGACGGUACCGAAAGAAUAAGCCCCGGCUAACUUCGUG
rnacentral:rRNA from 1 species